rnacentral:rRNA from 1 species
GUCUUUUUGAUAAAUAAUUUAAAGUCUAAUCUGCCCCCUGAAAUUAUUUUAAAGGGCUGCGGUAUUUUAACCGUACAAAGGUAGCAUAAUAAUUAGGUUUUUAAUUGAAAUCUUGAAUGAAUGAUUGGACGAGAUAUGAGCUGUUUUAAAAUAUAAAUUUGAAUUUAAUUUUUUAGUUAAAAAGCUAAAAUAUUUUUAAAAGACGAGAAGACCCUAUAAAUCUUUAUAAUUUAUUUAUUUUAAUUAAUUAUUUUAAUAAAAUUAAUUUAAAUAGAGAAAUUAUUUUAUUGGGGUGAUAUAAAAAUUUUUUAAACUUUUUAUGAUUAUAAUACUAUAAUUAAAGAUUUAUAAAAUAUAUGAUCUAUUAAUAAUAAUUAAAAGAAAAAGAUACUUUAGGGAUAACAGCGUAAUUUUAAUAUUAAGUUCAUAUUAUUAUUAAAGAUUGCGACCUCGAUGUUGGAUUAAAAUUUAAUUUAAAUGCAAAAGUUUAAAAAUUAAGUCUGUUCGACUUUUAAAAUUUU